UCUCCGCCGUCCACACCCAUACCGUCUGCAGCAGGGAACAGCGAGCUCGCUCCCACCACUCUCGCCGCCGUCGACCACUCACUGCCGCCCUGCUAGGCUUUUUUUGCUUUGUUUUGCCAGUUACGACUUUUGUUUGGCCGGUUCCAGCAAAACAUGUUGCCGGUGGGUGCAAAACAUCUCGCCGCACAGCGUCUCCGUCGCCUGGUUCCAGCAGCGCCGAGGACGGUUACGAGUCAUGGAGUACGUUCGGCGACCGCGGCUACGUGUGUCGUGAGCUCGACGGUGGGUGCGGCGGCGGGGCGGCGUGAAGCAAUGAGCUCUUCGGCCGCAUAGUGCUAGCUGGGCGAGGGCCACGAAGUGCUACAACCAGAUUCGGCGGCGCGAUGGAGCCUAAAAGUGCGGCGCCGAUAAGUGCGCAUUACGUGCUGGAAGCAGGCGGCGGGGAGGAGCCACGAGUGAGGCUGGAUUUGCAGCGGUUUGAGGAGGUCGUGCAAUUUUCCUUUUCUUUCUGCAAAGUAGUUCUAAGACGAGGAUAAUGCUAGAAUCGCACGGGCCACAUGAAUACUAUCGCGCAGCUGGCAGGCGACCGGCCAAAACGUUUGGCCGGUGCGCCGGCGCCUAUUAAUCGCCUUUCUGAAAUUGAGGAAUCUUUUUUUCA